AUUGAACGCUGGCGGCAGGCCUAACACAUGCAAGUCGAGCGGAUGAAGGGAGCUUGCUCCUGGAUUCAGCGGCGGACGGGUGAGUAAUGCCUAGGAAUCUGCCUGGUAGUGGGGGACAACGUUUCGAAAGGAACGCUAAUACCGCAUACGUCCUACGGGAGAAAGCAGGGGACCUUCGGGCCUUGCGCUAUCAGAUGAGCCUAGGUCGGAUUAGCUAGUUGGUAAGGUAAUGGCUCACCAAGGCGACGAUCCGUAACUGGUCUGCGAGGAUGGUCAGUCACACUGGAACGGAGACACGGUCCAGACUCCUACGGGAGGCAGCAGUGGGGAAUAUUGGACAAUGGGCGAAAGCCUGAUCCAGCCAUGCCGAGUGUGUGAAGAAGGUCUUCGGAUUGUAAAGCACUUUAAGUUGGGAGGAAGGGUUGUAGAUUAAUACUCUGCAAUUUUGACGUUACCGACAGAAUAAGCACCGGCUAACUCUGUGCCAGCAGCCGCCGCGGUAA
rnacentral:rRNA from 1 species